rnacentral:rRNA from 1 species
UUCUGGUUGAUCCCGCCAGACCUGACUGCUAUCGGAUUGAUACUAAGCCAUGCGAGUCGUUGUAGCAAUACAAGGCAUACGGCUCAGUAACGCGUAGUCAACCUAACCUAUGGACGGGAAUAACCUCGGGAAACUGAGAAUAAUGCCCGAUAGAACAUUAUGCCUGGAAUGGUUUAUGUUCCAAAUGAUUUAUCGCCAUAGGAUGGGACUGCGGCCUAUCAGUUUGUUGGUGAGGUAAUGGCCCACCAAGACUAUUACAGGUACGGGCUCUGAGAGGAGUAGCCCGGAGAUGGGUACUGAGACACGGACCCAGGCCCUAUGGGGCGCAGCAGGCGAGAAAACUUUGCAAUGUGCGAAAGCACGACAAGGUUAAUCCGAGUGAUUUCUGCUAAAGAGAUCUUUUGUUAGUCCUAGAAACACUAACGAAUAAGGGGUGGGCAAGUUCUGGUGUCAGCCGCCGCGGUAAAACCAGCACCUCAAGUGGUCAGGAUGAUUAUUGGGCCUAAAGCAUCCGUAGCCGGCUCUGUAAGUUUUCGGUUAAAUCUGUACGCUCAACGUACAGGCUGCCGGGAAUACUGCAGAACUAGGGAGUGGGAGAGGUAGACGGUACUCGGUAGGAAGUGGUAAAAUGCUUUGAUCUAUCGAUGACCACCUGUGGCGAAGGCGGUCUACCAGAACACGUCCGACGGUGAGGGAUGAAAGCUGGGGGAGCAAACCGGAUUAGAUACCCGGGUAGUCCCAGCUGUAAACUAUGCAAACUCAGUGAUGCAUUGGCUUGUGGCCAAUGCAGUGCUGCAGGGAAGCCGUUAAGUUUGCCGCCUGGGAAGUACGUACGCAAGUAUGAAACUUAAAGGAA